CUUGGCAAGCUUGGCUUCCUCUCAUGCACAGGUUGACAUUAUGGCCAGUCUCCUUGAGUUGAUCAACUUUGAUUUUCUCCUCGGUUUAAGGCAUUGGGAGAUAUUAGUAUCAUUGAGCAAUAUAAAUGGUGUUGUCAUUAGUUUACGUACAUUGCAGAGAAUUCUGUGUUCUUCAAGGCUCUACAGACAAAAAAACAACAAAUCAGACUUCCUUGACAUAGCGUUAUUCUUUAUUGAUCAAUUGGGCUGACAUGGGAAGCUUCAUGGAUACAAACUAAUGCAUCUUAAAUGCAUCCAAGCGGGAUUUUUGGUGACCCAAAACACAGUCAGGCGUUUACUUCAUAAAAUUCUAGACCCCCAUGGAGUGGGAUCGAGAUUAGCUAGCUAGCUAUUUUACCUUCACAACCAAUAGGACUUGUAAUUUCACAUUUGGAAGGUCCAUUGAAACAAUUAACUAGCAUGGUUAUACAAUUUCUUUUUUUGUCCUUUUUACCCCUUUUCCUUGGUAUCCAAUUGGUAGUCACAGUCUUGUCCCAUCGCUGCAACUACCCUAUGGACUCGGGAGAGGCGAAGGUCGAGAGCCAUGCGUCCUCCGAAACACAACCUUGCCAAGCCGCACUGCUUCUUGACACACUGCUCGCUUAACCCAGAUCCAGCCGCACCAAUGUGUCGGAGGAAACACCGUCCAGCUGGCGACCAGCCAAUUUCCCCCGCUUGGUGGUGGGGAGACGCCUCCUCCAACCAAAUCUCGCUUUGGGUCCCCAAAAAGCUAGAGCUAGCCCUUUGUGUGUGUCUGUCUGCCAGCCUGUCUGUCUUAGAGUUCCAGAUGUGGCUGGAGGAAUAGUGGUGGCCACUGUAUGGCAACUUUAAUACUGGAGCGCAUGUAGGAACUCAUGGUCAUGAAAUGAAUCUACAACAGUUAAUACAAGUAUCCUAUAUUAGGUACUACUACAAUGCUAGCUAGCUAGUACAUGUACAUAUGGAUUUACAGUACCAAUAAUAUUUUAUUAAUAUACAAGGUCCACUUUGACCCAAGAGAACAAAUCAGACUAAGGAUUUGCAAAAGGAGCGGUGAGCACCUAUCAGAUCCCUCUGCUCUCCUUCACCCCUUGGGGGAGCCUUUGGGGCAACCAUUGCUGAGGCCAGGAAGAAGUUUGCAAACCAAUGUAGAAACCAAAGUAGAAGCCAAGUUAAUCGCCAUGCAAUGCUCUACUGACCAAGGUGCCACGUGGUCUCCCAUCUCCUUCAUAGUGGCAUCAGCUGGACCCCAUCGCAUAACCUCUUGGUCUAGCCAGGUGAAUCAAGAGCUUCAGCAGAGACGGAAGAUGAAGCGAGACAUGUUUCAGUGGAUGUCAAUGAACAAAGUAGACCAGACCCAGCUGAUAUCACAUUGGGUGUCUAUGGGAGAUCCACCCUCUUAAGUAGACAAUGGUAAACGGCCUUGUCUUCACCCCGACCUAGUAGGAGACUCUGAAAUUCCACCCUCAGUGUUUCCCUUAAAGAUGGAGGAAGCUCACCUGCUUGCUCUACCCAUCCAGUACUGUUACAUCAUAUUUGCUUGAGUCAAUACUUAGGAUACAUCUUACUACACAAUAGUGAAAAUCCUACAUUCAAUGCAUAUGAAAUGUUUGUGUGAAGUAUAAUGUAAAUAGGUCAUUGAUUUGUAAUGCCCAAUCUGAACAUUUAAACCAUCACAAGUUAUGUUGACAAUAUACCCUUACUGUAAAUAGUGCAGGCUCUACUGCAGCCUCUGGACAUUUACACCUGGAUCUUGCAGCUAGCUAGCUGCUACCCGAGUGACUAUUGGCUAACGUCGGUCCCGGAGCUAACAUCAAUUAUUCCGGAGCUAGCCAGCUGAAGAGUUCCAUCAGCCACUCCUGGGCUACAAUCACCUAUCCGG
rnacentral:lncRNA from 1 species